rnacentral:rRNA from 1 species
GACGAACGCUGGCGGCGUGCCUAAUACAUGCAAGUAGAACGCUGAAGGAGGAGCUUGCUUCUCUGGAUGAGUUGCGAACGGGUGAGUAACGCGUAGGUAACCUGCCUGGUAGCGGGGGAUAACUAUUGGAAACGAUAGCUAAUACCGCAUAAGAGUAGAUGUUGCAUGACAUUUGCUUAAAAGGUGCAAUUGCAUCACUACCAGAUGGACCUGCGUUGUAUUAGCUAGUUGGUGGGGUAACGGCUCACCAAGGCGACGAUACAUAGCCGACCGGAGAGGGGGAUCGGCCACACUGGGACUGAGACACGGCCCAGACGCCUACGGGAGGCAGCAGGAGGGAAACUUCGGGAAUGGGCGGAAGUCUGACCGAGCAACGCCGAGUGAGUGAAGAAGGUUUUCGGAUCGUAAAGCUCGGUUGUAAGAGAAGAACGAGUGUGAGAGUGGAAAGUUCACACUGUGACGGUAUCUGACCAGAAAGGGACGGCUAACUACGUG